UACGGGGGGGGCAAGCGUUGUUCGGAAUUACUGGGCGUAAAGGGCUCGUAGGUGGCCAACUAAGUCAGACGUGAAAUCCCUCGGCUUAACCGGGGAACUGCGUCUGAUACUGGACGGCUUGAGUUUGGGAGAGGGACGCGGAAUUCCAGGUGUAGCGGUGAAAUGCGUAGAUAUCGGGAGGAACACCAGUGGCGAAGGCGACUUCCUGGCCUGUUCUUGACGCUGAGGCGCGAAAGCUAGGGGAGCAAACGGG
rnacentral:rRNA from 1 species